rnacentral:rRNA from 1 species
GCUUAACACAUGCAAGUCGUACGAGAAAUCUUCAGCUUGCUGAAGAAAGUAAAGUGGCGCACGGGUGCGUAACGCGUGGGCAAUCUGGCUUCGAAUCGGGAAUAACAUUGCGAAAGCGAUGCUAAUACCGGAUAAAAUCUUAUUGGCUUAGGUGAAAAGAUCAAAGGCGGCCGCUUUUUAAAGUACUGCCGUUCGGAGAUGAGCUCGCGUACCAUUAGCUGGUUGGCAGGGUAACGGCCUGCCAAGGCGACGAUGGUUAGCUGGUCUGAGAGGAUGAUCAGCCACACCGGAACUGGAACACGGUCCGGACUCCUGCGGGAGGCAGCAGUGAGGAAUUUUGCGCAAUGGGGGCAACCCUGACGCAGCAACGCCGCGUGAGUGAUGAAGGCUUUCGGGUCGUAAAGCUCUGUCAGGCGGGAAGAAUCUGCUAUGAGAUAACACCUUAUGGCACUGACGGUACCGCCGAAGGAAGCACCGGCUAACUCCGUG